rnacentral:rRNA from 1 species
UGAACGCUGGCGGCGUGCCUAAUACAUGCAAGUCGAGCGAACAGAUAAGGAGCUUGCUCCUUUGAAGUUAGCGGCGGACGGGUGAGUAACACGUGGGUAACCUACCUAUAAGACUGGGAUAACUUCGGGAAACCGGAGCUAAUACCGGAUAACAUUUAGAACCGCAUGGUUCUAAAGUGAAAGAUGGUUUUGCUAUCACUUAUAGAUGGACCCGCGCCGUAUUAGCUAGUUGGUAAGGUAACGGCUUACCAAGGCGACGAUACGUAGCCGACCUGAGAGGGUGAUCGGCCACACUGGAACUGAGACACGGUCCAGACUCCUACGGGAGGCAGCAGUAGGGAAUCUUCCGCAAUGGGCGAAAGCCUGACGGAGCAACGCCGCGUGAGUGAUGAAGGGUUUCGGCUCGUAAAACUCUGUUAUUAGGGAAGAACAAAUGUGUAAGUAACUGUGCACAUCUUGACGGUACCUAAUCAGAAAGCCACGGCUAACUACGUG